rnacentral:rRNA from 1 species
UACGGGGGGAGCAAGCGUUGUUCGGAUUUACUGGGCGUAAAGGGCGCGUAGGCGGCCACUGCAAGUCGGUUGUGAAAUCUCCGGGCUUAACCCGGAAAGGUCAAUCGAUACUGCAGGGCUAGAGUGCAGAAGGGGCAACUGGAAUUCUCGGUGUAGCGGUGAAAUGCGUAGAUAUCGAGAGGAACACCUGCGGCGAAGGCGGGUUGCUGGGCUGACACUGACGCUGAUGCGCGAAAGCUAGGGGAGCGAACGGG